AACUGACAGCACUGAGCACAAGUAAUUAUGGUGCUCACUAGUACGUCGUUCAGGUUUCCCACUGUAGGGUUCUCUAACUCGGGGUGUUUGUAGGGACGUACUCUGGAGCUAUGAGGGUAUGAGGUUCCUCAGUCUCUUAAACUGUUUUUCUAAAGGCAUGGGCUGCCACACUCCGGUGAACUCUUUAAAAGAAGGUAGAAUUCCAUUAGAAUAGGACUACUGUCUGCUUGGGUCUUCCUGGGGAAGGUUAGGACAUGGGACUUCACAGUGAGUCUCUCCUUACCACGUUCUUUUUCUGUGUGGCAUCUACAGGUCAUCCACGACUUCUUAUUCUCCUUGAAGGAAAGCCCUGAAAAGUUUCAGAUUGAAGCCAAUUUUCCAAGACGGGUACUUCCCUGUGUCCCUUCAGAG
rnacentral:lncRNA from 1 species